UAGUACCCUGCCACGGUACA
rnacentral:siRNA from 1 species